UACGGGGGGGGCAAGCGUUGUUCGGAAUUACUGGGCGUAAAGGGCGCGUAGGCGGUUCGCUAAGUUGGAUGUGAAAACUCUGGGCUUAACCCAGAGCCUGCAUCCAAAACUGGCAAACUUGAGUACUGGAGGGGAAAGCGGAAUUCCUGGUGUAGCGGUGAAAUGCGUAGAUAUCAGGAGGAACACCCGUGGCGAAGGCGGUUCUCUGGGACGGUACUGACGCUGAGACGCGAAAGCGUGGGGAGCGAACAGG
rnacentral:rRNA from 1 species